rnacentral:rRNA from 1 species
AGCGAACGCUGGCGGCAGGCCUAACACAUGCAAGUCGAACGAACUCUUCGGAGUUAGUGGCGGACGGGUGAGUAACACGUGGGAACGUGCCUUUAGGUUCGGAAUAACUCAGGGAAACUUGUGCUAAUACCGAAUGUGCCCUUCGGGGGAAAGAUUUAUCGCCUUUAGAGCGGCCCGCGUCUGAUUAGCUAGUUGGUGAGGUAAAGGCUCACCAAGGCGACGAUCAGUAGCUGGUCUGAGAGGAUGAUCAGCCACAUUGGGACUGAGACACGGCCCAAACUCCUACGGGAGGCAGCAGUGGGGAAUCUUGCGCAAUGGGCGAAAGCCUGACGCAGCCAUGCCGCGUGAAUGAUGAAGGUCUUAGGAUUGUAAAAUUCUUUCACCGGGGACGAUAAUGACGGGACCCGGAGAAGAAGCCCCGGCUAACUUCGU